ensembl:misc_RNA Metazoa_SRP Metazoan signal recognition particle RNA
GCUGGGCGUGGUGGCAUGCACCUGUAGUCCCAGGUACUCAGGAGGCUGAGGCAGGAGAGUUGCUUGAACCUGGGAGGUGGAAGGUUGCAGCGAGGCGAGAUGGUGCUACUGCACUCCAGCCUGAGCAACAGACUCCACUUUGGAAAAAAAAAAAACGAGUUAAGAUUUUUUUUGAGACAGUCUUGCUCUAUCACCUACGCUGGAGUGCAGUGGCACAAUAUCAACUCACUGCAACCUCCGCCUCCCAGGUUCAAGCAAUUCUCCUGCCUCAG